rnacentral:misc_RNA from 1 species
UUACGUUAAAUAAAUAUUUCUACAACGUUUUUUACAUCCACUUCGUCAAUUCAGCAACGAUAAAAAUGGCGCCUUCUGAUUGGAUGAGAGAAAAUGGCGCUUUCUGAUUGGCGAAGAUGUAGGUGGUGAUUGUGGUGGAGGUGGUGAUGAUGGUGGUAUCUUUAUCUUAAUUUCCUUCUUUUCCCUUCUUUUCCUAAUUUUUUCACAUUUUUACAUUAAAUAAAUAUUUCUACAACGUUUUUUACAUCCACUUCGUUAAUUCAGCAACGAUAAAAAUGGCACCUUCUGAUUGGCUGAGAGAAAGCUGAGCGCUGAUUGGCUGCCGCUGGUCCACCCUUCGCCAUUUCCCUCCCGAACAUAAACAAACUGAGCUUAACUGAGAGAAAUUUUGUCCUUUUUCACUCUGGUGGCCUCGUGUGACCUCCUGGCGACCCCGUGACCUGACCAGCAGCUGUAGGGGUCCUAUGGGUUGAUGACUCCAGAACCCAACCAAAGACAAGGAUUUUGGCCAAGGUUGGGCUCAAAGUUUUGAUAUUCUGGCAGAACACAAUAUCAGAGCAGGUACCACUUCAAUAAGACGCACUCCUUAGAGACACACGCAUGUACGUUUUGCUCGAAGGCGUAUAAGUGGAAGGGCGAAUUACGUACACACAUUCAGCGCGUACAUGGCAGUCCUGUACGCUUUUCGUGCUCUGUGUGCGCCAAAACUUACACAGAGAGGCGCAAGCUGCUUCAACAUUACUCCCUCAAACACAGCGAUCAGGAGGAGGAGAAAGAUGGGGAUGGUGGCGUAGGCAACCCCGAAGACCCAGCUACCACCACCACCACCGCCACCACCCCAGACGAAGCCGUUACCGAGAAAUUUGAAGAAACGUCGAUCAUUGCCAUCCCUCUCUACCCAAAUACGGACCAAGCUAUUUUGAACGAACCAAUGGGAACAGAACAGGAUUUGAACGGACCAAUGGCGAGCGAGAUUUAUCUAGUACCGGAUUUAACGGUCCCUAUCCACGAGGAGCAGGUGUCUACAAGCUAGUUAUAGUAGUAGUAGUAGUAGUAGUAGUAGUAGUGGUGGUGUAAUUAUUAAUAAUAUUUCUAAUGAA